rnacentral:lncRNA from 1 species
CCAGGUAUCUCCGGUGAUUGACUGUAAGACUUGAAAGGGCUUUGCUACCGUGAAGCCAUGGUAUGGCAGAUUUGGGUAUUUUUGUCCAACUUUUAGUUACUUACACAGAGCGGCUAAACUUUAAAAAAAUAUUAAAUACCGGCUUGGUUUUAAACUGUGGUCUUAAAAUAGGCUAUUUGUGCAUGUCCCAAAUCACUUAAUUCUUGGAUUAAGUGAUUGAGUCCUAACCCUUCUGUCCGAUAUUUCUUUGCUCGUAAUGAAGUGCUUGCAGAAUCAAAUGAGUGAAUAUUUUUUAAUUUCCUCUUCAUACUUGUAUCUCCAUUCGAUUAUGCCAUGUCUAAACCUUUAGUUCUACUGCUUGCAGAAUCAAAUGAGAGUGAAUAUUUUUUAAUUUCCUCUGCAUAGUUGUAUCUCCAUUCGAUUAUGACAUGUCUAUACCUUUAG